GCAGAUUUGCAAAGGAAAAAAACACAACAACACACGCACGGGCUCGCCUCCUCUCCCUCUCGCCCAUUAAGUCGCCGCCGCCGCCGCCCACACCGGCCGCUUCCGGCGACCUCCAGCGUCGCGCAGCAUGCCCCCGAGCUCCCCACGGUCCGCGCCUUCCUUCCCUCCGGCUAGAUUCUCCGCUCCCGGACUCUACCACACGCUCGCAACCCCACCCCGUGGCUAGGGUUUCGGGCAGGGCUUCGCCGGCGCGUCUCCGGCGACCCCAGAUGCAGAUGGAGCACGCCGUUAGAUUUCCCCAUCCACCACGGUCGCCGCCGUCAAGGGCUUCUUCACGGAUCUGGGACGCCAUGGACAUGCAGCUCCUCAAGGACUUUCUAUUGAAACAUCUUGUCCAUCAUGUGUAGAACACGAUGCACCGUUAAGUCAAGGUUCAGGACGACGUAUAUCGUAGCCCCAUGCUGGCUUUUUCCAAUGCAGGACCUUCUACAUCUCUGCAUAUCGAUCCAUUUUGGACCUCAGUAGAAAAUUCAUCAUUUUAGUGUCCAUCUGAAGAAUCACAUCGUGAUAGGAACAAGGACAAUGGCUGGCAUGUUGGUAGGAAUCUGAGAUGAUAAAAAAUAGUACUCAUCCAACUGCUAACUGAAUAUGCUGGAAAUUAGCUCAUAGUUACACAUAUAUUAUUACUGGGGCAGUACUGUCCUAGACUUGCAUAUUCAGAAUUAAUUGAUCUCACACAGUAGUGCCAUUUGUCGACACACCGUAUGAUAUAUGAAUAAAACCAUAAAAGUGUAUAUGAAACUUUAUAAUCUGGCACUUCGUUUCAUGCCUACAUCAAUGCAAUGUCCUUUUUAUGUUAUCAUGGCAUACAUAGAUAAUUAAAUGAGGAUUCUUUGAUAAUGUCUCCAUCUCUUGAGCUAAGCACAUGCUGUCAACAUCAUGGAACGACAUGGAGCUGCAGACAUGCACUUUGGAGCAGAGGUUGACUUGCAGCUGCGUCUGCAAUCUCCCAAACAAAUGAGCAGCACCAUGCAGUUGUGGGCUUGCAGCAGGUUGGCGGGCGAAUGGUCAUAGCAGGAAUACAACGGGCAUGUCGACUGCUGCGAGUAUUCCAUUCAAGUCGACAACUACAUUUGCAAGAGUUUUACACCACCGUAUGAUCGAUGAAUUCGAGGUCUGAGGCCCGUCCAGGGGCUAGAGCAGAUUCAUCGGACGGUGGAGUUGAGUGACCCACUCAUUGAUACCAGGUGUGCUCAAGUGAAGCCAGGGAUUUGAUCCAUCCAUCUCGGAGCGCAUGAAUCAACAGAGGAUCCAUCCAGUCAAACAAGUGAAUUUAGGCUUGAUUAAUUAGCAGGAGCAUACGAGUGUCUUUUGCACAUGUAGUUUAGGUUUGUACAGGUUCAGGUAGUCAACUGUUAAGCAUGGUAGGAUCCGCAAGCUGGGCAGUAGGCAGCGUCACGGUACGAUCCAGCAGGACGGCGGAGGAGGCGGCCCGUGGUGACUGGGGAGGAUACAAAGGGGGAUGGAGAGGUUGCGGGAAAUUUAUGGGUCUGGACUGGAGCAGAGGGAGAUAGAGAAUGGGUGAGAAAGAUGGAGAUGUUGAUAGGUAAUACCUGUUGGAAAGAGAUGUUGAUAGUUUACUUUUCUUCAUCUCCAACGCAACUAUCAACUGAUGCGCUGACUGUAUCAUCACAGUUCUCAUGUAAGCAAAGGAUCUUGCUUCUUCCCAAAUUAGAUUUUGAAGUAUUUCACUUCUAUUGUUUCUCCAGGUAUACUGCAUUUGAUCACGGUUCUCAUGUGAUCGGCUACCUGCAGAUCUACAUACUAGGGCGAUAAUAUGCAAUGUAGGAGUCUUGACCAUCCAAUGAUUUAUUUGUGUUUGGUUUUGCUGCAUCGGUCAAUAUGUGCAUAUCCUUGGAUGUAGUAUUGCUUUUCCUAAGUGUGUUUUGUAGAUCAGAUAAUGAUUCGCAAUGUACUAGGAGGUUUGGACAGCAAGUGAUUGUCACCAACACCAAGGAUCAGGUUCCUGCCAGAAGAACCCAAAGCAGAGCAAGAGAAGGAAAAUGAAGGUGAAGUUGCAGGUUCUGUUGGAGAGAGGGCUUCAUCACAUACUUGCUGCGAAGGCCAUGUUGUCGAGGAGCCGGUGACUGCCGCUCCAGCUGCCUCGCGCCAUGCCCCGUCGUGUGGGGUGCAUUGUGAGAGUUCUGCAUCAGGCUCGCGCCACCGCUCCGGCAGCUAAUAGGCAGUAUUGGUGUCGACUGGAGCAACUAGAGUCGCUAGCUGUUAUGCUAAAAGAAUAGGGUGGAUUUGCUUCAUGCAAGAAGACAGUAAGGAUAAAGCAGCAAAAAGCAGGCCAUUAGUGGUGAUGGAUAAUUUCUCCAAUCAAUUUAACGUAGAUGCCUUCCAACAUUGCACACUAAGCGAUUGCAUUUUUUAGAUAUAUAGAAAGGUGGCUUCUGUUUUCAAGAAAGUUGGCAUGGCGUGAUUGUUAAUUUUUUAUGCCAACAAUUACAUACGCUUGGCUGACAAGCAUACAUUCUGAAAUGAUAUUGACAUUAGACCGAACCUUUAAACCUAGCAUAUUUAUUUUUCUCACCUAAUGAUUUUUAUUAUGUAUGAUAUGUAUUGCAUAGACUGCUGGCUUUGACAUUACAAUCUGGAACUAAAUAAAUAAAAAUAGAGAAAUUCAUAUAGUGGCAGUAAAGUGCUAACAAGUUAUAAUCUGUUUUUAGUUGCAUUACAGUAAGAGGAAACCUUUAUUUUACUUGUGAGCAUUGUAAUUGUUUGCGAAGGGCUAAUGUUAAUAAGAUAUGCAUACAAAUCUUAGCCUGGAGGCCGUGCUUUGUUCAAAGUAGCUGGGUAUAUGUACAAUAAAUAAAUAUUCAUGUGUUAUCUUGGUACUGUACAAUAUUGUUGAGAGUG